AGAGUUUGAUCCUGGCUCAGGACGAACGCUGGCGGCGUGCCUAAUACAUGCAAGUCGAACGCACUGACGGAGAACUUGUUCUCUUGACGUGAGUGGCGCACGGGUGAGUAACACGUGGGAAACCUACCCUUCAGCGGGGGAUAACCAUCGGAAACGAUGACUAAUACCGCAUAGACGACAGAACCGCCUGGUUCAAUCGGGAAAGACGGCUUCGGCUGUCACUGAAGGAUGGUCCCGCGCUGCAUUAGCUAGUUGGUAAGGUAACGGCUUACCAAGGCGAUGAUGCAUAGCCGACCUGAGAGGGUGAUCGGCCACAUUGGGACUGAGACACGGCCCAAACUCCUACGGGAGGCAGCAGUAGGGAAUCUUCCGCAAUGGACGCAAGUCUGACGGAGCAACGCCGCGUGUGUGAAGAAGGUUUUCGGAUCGUAAAGCACUGUUAUUAGAGAAGAACAGCCGAUAGAGUAACUGUUAUCGGUUUGACGGUAUCUAACCAGAAAGUGACGGCUAACUACGUGCCAGCAGCCGCGGUAAUACGUAGGUCACAAGCGUUGUCCGGAUUUAUUGGGCGUAAAGGGAGCGCAGGCGGUUUGUUAAGUCUGAUGUGAAAGCCCACGGCUCAACCGUGGAACGGCAUUGGAAACUGGCAAACUUGAGUAUAGAAGAGGAAAGUGGAAUUCCAUGUGUAGCGGUGAAAUGCGUAGAUAUAUGGAGGAACACCAGUGGCGAAGGCGACUUUCUGGUCUAUAACUGACGCUGAGGCUCGAAAGCGUGGGGAGCGAACAGGAUUAGAUACCCUGGUAGUCCACGCCGUAAACGAUGAGUGUUAAAGUGUUGGGGGGCUUCCACCCCUCAGUGCUGGCGUUACGCAAUAAACACUCCGCCUGGGGAGUACGACCGC
rnacentral:rRNA from 1 species